UCAUCAUUUACAUUAGGUGUAUCUCCUAAUGCUGUCCCUCCCCGUUACCCCCUCCCCACAAUAGGACCCGGUGUGUGAUGCUCAAAGAAAGGGAGAACACGAGCAAGAAAAGUAGACAGAAAUGGACGUGACUGGGGCAAGUAGAACUGAUCAAGGUAAAUAGAGACAUAAAUAGAGAAAGCAAUUUGAAGGACAUUGUGUUACACACAGGAAUGUGUACGCACACACACACUUGCACAUACACAUUUCAUCUUGUCUUCUGGACAAUGACAUUCAGGAAUAAGUUCUUCAGUUUGGGAAAUUGCUGCCCAGAGUUGUGACUGAGAAAUGUGUUUCAGCUUAAAGAGACUAGAGUAACACGUGGUUAAGGGACUCCUGAGAAAUGAGCAGAACCAAGUGCGCACUGACUGUGCACAGAGGUAGGUUUUAGAGGCUGUGUAACAGGGUGGGUGGUCUGUGCUUUGACCUGGCUUCACUCCUUUGACUGGUUGUGACUCUGCAUAAGCCAUUUAAACUACAGUGAAAGAUAGAUGCUUGAAAUCUGCUUUAAUACAUACAUAUUUAUUUAUGUUGACAACCUCUGCAUGUCACUCAGUAAAAAUUUCCAGGCUACUUCCAAUAAUAACGAAACAGAAGGAUAAACUAAAUUAUGUCAGAGGAACAUAAUAUGUAAAUAAUAUAAUAAAAUUAAAGAUGAGAUUAGCACCUGAAAAUCUCUGUAUUAUGACUCAAAAGCCUACUAAUUUGGCCCUGAGAAGUAUGGCCCUUCCUAAUUUUGACAGUGAGAAAUAUAUUGUCCUGGGUCCUGAUAUAAAGGGACCUGUGGGGGCAGAGGGCAGUGCCCUGGAUAACGCCCCUCCAGUGGAGAAAGGAAAGAUCCCAUUAUGACUGCUACAUCCCUCUCGGAAGACGGCAGAGGAGGCCAGCACUCCUGCCAGUACACGCCAAAGUGUCACAGCCCAAAUUAUCCAGCUUCAUCUUCACUAUCUAUACCAGUCAUGUUCAAUGACUUAUAAAAAGCAGUGGUACUCUUCUAGUCCAAUUAAAUCUUGCACAAGCACACAGAAAGCAGGGCGGUGGGUCAUUGUUUCAGAGGGGGAAGGGCUGACCAUUUUCUCAGAGCCUCUCUUUCCCCACGCAGAGACUGGUGAGGCCUGAUGAGGCACCUUUGCUCGGAAUCUCAAAUGUCUGAAAAUCCCUUGUCCCAUCUAGGCGACAGGAUGGACAUCAGAAAGGAAGGAGGGAGGGAGGGAGGGAAGGAAUAGAGGCAUGAAAGGAGGCAGAAAAGAAUGUUGGUUUUUACUGCUACUUGCACAGGAUUCUUGUGGGAGCCAGUAGGGAAGUUAUUUUGAAUCGGAUAAAUUGGGGCUUCCUCUUCUUGUUCAUCGAGAUCACUCUUUUGGCUCUUUUCCUUCCAAUAAAACAAACCACGAUACACUAAGAGACUGAAGAGACAGUACAAUGCACUUUUAAGUGUCUGGGCUCCAAACCAAACUAUCUGGGUUUGAAUCCUGGCCCUGCUACUUAUUGCUGUGAUACUGGAUAAGAUACUUAACUUCUCUGUGCCUGUUUUCCCAUCUGCAGAAAUAGGUGCUAAUAACCUACCUCAUGGGAUUAUUGUGAGGAGAAAAUGUGUUAGCAUGCGUAUGGUGUUUAGAAUGGCGUUUGGCACAUGGUCUGGGAAUAAAUGUCAGCCGUCAUUAUGUUGUGGGCAUGUCAGAGAGGGCAGGGAGACCGGGUUCAUGGAGGUGGCAGAGGCAGCACAUUGAUCUCUGCUUCUGACAGAAAAUCAGAGGGGAUAUCGGGAGGGGAGGGAUGGUCUGGCUAGAGUACGGGCAGCCUUGAAGCCCUAGUGGAAUCAUUUCAACUUGAUUCUAUGGAAAAUUAUAUACGACAGUGUAGGAGAGCUUGUCUUCUAACUGAAACCAGCUGGGAAUCUUUCCCGAUAAAAUCAAGGGCAGGGCAGAGCGAGGGUCUUUGGUAGCAUGUGCAAAUGUACAUGCGUGUAACCAGUGUGUGUGGCCCACCAUGCUUCUAACCUACCUUUACCUCUUCUAGUUCUUCAGAUCUCUUAACCCUGUUGUCUGUGAGCAUGGACAAUCUGGGGCUUACACAGACAAGACCACAGUGUGCCAUCUUGUCAGAAGGAGAAACUGAGGUACUCUAUUCUGAGGAGGCUGGUUCUAGGACUUUUUACUCCACUGUGGAGUAAGACCCAGAGUGUGGGCUGCCAGGUCCCUUCCUUCAGGGAUCUGGCUUCUAAAGUUGGUUGUUUUCCUAUAUCUCAUAAAGAGGGAGAGGAUGUGCCUAAGAGAGGUUAUUUGGACGAAUGGCCAUUGUAACUGCCUCCUAUCAACACAGGUGGAUAGAGGCAGGUGUAGGGAAGAGGGCUGCCUGGAUCUGGGGUUCUCAUUCCCCCAUAAUCCUUGGCCUGUUGUUGAGGGGGAGCUAGAGGAGGGGUGCAGACUUAGCAGAUUAAGAAAGAUAAACGCUUACUCCUUAACAGUGGGAAAGAGGGAUGGAAGAGGAAGAUCGCAAUCUGAGGCACGAGGAGUGGCCUAUCCUGGUGGAGGCAGGAGAGACACGUGUCCUCUACAUGCCCAUCCAAGUCUCUGAUAGGGUGGUCCUUGCUGUGAGGGAAGAGUGUGGGCCACAGGCCAUAGGGAGUGCUCCCCCACCCCCUCUCCAGAGCUGCUACCAUUGUCUUUGCCCUCGGAGUGCUCUCCUCCCACCCCCACUGCCUCUUGUUCUCUUUCUCCCUUGGGCCAUGAGAAUGGCAGGGAGCCCAGCCAGCGCCUGGACAGCGGCCUCAGCUCCCUGUUCUCAAUAAUUGUGUGUGUAUGCAUGUGUGCGUGUGUGCAUGUGUAUGUGUGAGUGCCUGUGUGUGUGUGCGUGUGUAGAGGCUGGGGUUGGGGUCAACAACAGAUCACAGCACAGGAGUAGAGAGCUUCUGGGAGGAUGGGGUCACCCAUGGGUCACGCCCUGCACCCUGGAGCCCAGAGGACCCUUCGCUCAAACCCACUGCCAGCUGACCACACGGGAGCAGCCAGAGCCACUUUCUUCGCUGCCCAGAGGAGCCUGGGAGAAGCCGGAGGUGUAAGUCAAGCUGUGGAGGACUGGGUGAGGCUGAGCCCCGUGAGAAGUGGGAGGAGCCAGGGAUGCUUAGGAGGGGCAGGCACUGUGCAGCGAGAGAGGAGGGAAAGGGGAAGCGUUCGGGCCUCUCUGUCCCUCUGUCCCCCUUUUGCUGCAUGGUAGCCGCAUCCAUGUCUCUUGUACUCUGCAAUCUGGAAGCCACCGCCAGAAGCUGAAAAUCCCAAGUAGAGCAGCAAAAGGUAUGAGGAUUAGCACAAAGUUAUGGCCAAUGGAGGCUCCCCAAAGUGCAUGGUAGGUGGUGGUCCAGUGUCCAAAGGCAGGAGUGCUGGGGUAACCCCAUAGCUGGGGGUCAUAUGGGAGAGACUGAGGAACUUUAGUUUGUGGACUCUCAGUCAACCGUGUUGCUGAGGAGGGGAAGGGGAAGUAGAAGAGGUGGUUGUCUGGACAAGACCCAAAUCCUGCUUCUACAUACAGGUGCUCACAAUGGCCAGUGCCCUGGAAAAGCUCGGGAAUAAAUACACCUGGGUCUUAGAAAGCAGAGGCGGAGGAUAAUGCCAUCCAGUGGGAGUGUCCAUUUGUUUCCUCAGCCAGCCUCUGUACCAGGCUUUCUGGGAACAAGGGCUGGAUGAACAAGGCCUUGGGAGUUCCUGUGGGGAGGGACUGGGGGUGAAUGGGCAGUGUGGCUGGCCCGGCGGUCACUUCUCCUCUGCUUAUCUAGGCUUGAGGAUGGAUUCCUGGCUCCUGGUGCAUUGCCACUCCCUGCCACCCUCCUCCAUGUCUUCUGUCUUCUCCUGGUGGCACCAGGCCUCGCUUCAUGUCCCAACAGAAGCCUCUGGGGCUGGCACGGCACUCGCUGCCUACAACCUGGGCCUGGUGGUUCUCCUAGGGUGCCUCUGGGAGGUCAUGGCCACCCUGCUGCUGGCUAACUGUGGCUACUUCUGCCAGCCAGUGGACUACAGAUGGAGUGAGCAUGGAGUGAGGGGAUGGCAGGGAGCAGGAAGCAAGCCUGGAGAGGGUUAGGAGGGACAACUUCAUAACAAUCGGAGGUCAAGGAGGUAUCACCUGAGCCUUUUGAUGAGAGACAGGGGACUGGCUGGUUAUGUGCAGGCUUUGGAGUCAGAUAACCUCGGACCUCAGUUUGAAUCUCAGCUCUGCCAGUUACUUGCUGUGUGACUCGGUGGCACACCUAACUCUUCUGGGACUCCAUUUUCUUAUCUAUAAAAUUGAGAUAAUAAUACCUAUUUUAUAAAGGGAAAUGAUUGAAAGAAGAUGGAAUCAGAUAAUAUAUGAUAGAUAAUAUAUGGAAGUGUUUAGCACAGGGGCCAGCACACACUGAGUGGUAGCUAAGUGGUAGUGAUUUCAUCACUGUUAGCUGUUCUCUGUUUCAACUAGAAGCAGAGCAAAAGGCUUCCUUGUAAUAGAAGACUCCAGCUGAAGCCUGUCACCAGGUAGCUGAGGCUUGUCACCAGGUGAUACGGAUGUUGAGUCACUGGAUGUUGGUGAUGGGCUCAAGUCCUGUGACUCAAAGUAUGAUCCUUGGGCCGGCAGCAUCAGCAUCAUCUGGGAGCUGGUUGGAAAUGCAGAAUCUGUACUCCACCCCAGGCACACGGAUGAAGAAUCUUCUUUCAACAAACAAGAUGCCCACAUGCUCCUUAGAUUCCUUCCAAGGUUCUGGGCAGGGGCACAUUUGGAAAGUCCUUCUGUGGUCACUCCAGUAGCUUCUCCCCUUUUUGCCUGUGCGCACAGGCAUCUUCCUGCAGACAGGUAGGCACUGUGGAAUCAGCGGUGCAUAGAACAGUGAGGAUUUGGGGCUGAACUCAGCCCAGGUGGGACAAGCUGUGGCACCAGCCCGACUGCAAUCUGAUGGAACUUCCCCGUCCUGCCCAGCAGAUGGCGAGCGUGUGCUGCUGGUGCCUCUUUCCAAAGGCCGUUGAAUUGCUUGACAGGUAAGAUCCCGGACACAUGGGCUCCUGUAUAUCCGUCAGCCAAAUCUGGGGCGGUGUCUGACUCUCCCAGCAAGAAUGCUCUCUGGGUUUGCCCAGGCAGCCAUGCCAGAGACUAAUUUCAGAGUAAAGCCUUGGUCCGGUACCUGGCUGAGGGAGGACGCUCAGCCACUGAGGUAGCGUCCCCCUCCACCGGCUCCCAUGGUCCCUGCUUUCUAUCUGCAGAAGUAGGAGUAAGCAUUUGCUCCAUGAGUAGCCAGGUUCCAGGUAAAAUUAAAAUGGAAAAUUAAACAAACUUUAAAACUGACAUGAUAUAGCCAGGGUCAUCAGACAGCAAAAGCCAUCCUUCCAUGUUAAUGAGAAGAAACCUUGCUGGUGAGGCCAGGGGGCUUGUGGGAUUAAGCAGAGUAGGGCAAGAGCAUAAUGUUGGUGGGUUUGGUGAUGAAAAGAGGGGGCUCUUUCUUCUCAGUCUCUUGCCAAAAUGAUCUGAGCAGAGAUCACGUGGGGAAUGUGUGGUGUGGGUGUCUGGAUCUUGGGCUGACGGUUCAACACCUGAAUUCUUACCCCGGUGCCCUGGGGGGCAAGGAUCGGACAUUGGAAAGAACCCAGUCUCUGAAGCCAAACUGUUCUGAUCCCAGUUUGGCCACCUAUUAGUUGUGUGCCUUUGGGCAGGUUACUUAGCCUUUAUGUGUCUUUUGUUAUCCUGAAAAAUGGAAGUAGUAGAAGUCUAAACUGCAUACAAAUUAUGUGGUAUUUCAGUGAUUAUUUUAUACACAUAAAGUAGAAUAGUGUUCUCUUCCCUCCUCUUCCCGCCGCACAUCCCUGCCCAGCAUCUAGAAGACCACCUGAAGCUUUCACACUAUGAGACCUUAGAUCCUGUGAGGGUUUGAAUUUCAAAAGCCUCAAUUAAAGCACACAGUAGGUCAUAGAUUGGUGUUUGACUAUUGUUAUUUCCCUUUAGUUUUAGUCGUUCUUUCAGUAAAACAGGUAGAAUUACCCUGUCCCACUCUAAGGGGUAGUUGAGGCCCCAGGAGAAGUCUGGAGAAAGGAGACCUCCAGAGAUGACGCCAUCUCUUCCUCCUCUCCAGGUGUUCUUUAUUUUAUGAACAAAGCCAGAGCAGCCCACCUUCCUGCAUCUCUACCAUCAUGGCACCAUGCCCUCUGAUGGGUGGGCUGGAGUCAAAUACGUAGCAGGCAGCCAGGGUCAGUUUGUGGCCACUGCUGCCCCCUCUUCCUACAGUCUCCUCACCGAGUGCCCCUUCCCUGAUGGGUUCAACACAUCUGUGCUCCUGUAAGCCCUCAGCUUCCUCAUUCUCUUCCUCAACUUCUACCACCAGACACACCUGAGGGGCAAGCAAGACAGGCUGAACUAAGGGCAGGACCCAGGGACUGAAACCAGCACAGCGUCCCCACAGAGAACUGGGUGGAAGGCAGCGUGGCUUCCAGCUUACUGGUGCCGAGCAGAUUCCUCUGUGUUUCCAUUGUAUCCUCUGAAGGAAGGAGGAGGAUUGCCUUCUGUCCAGAUCUCAGGAUCAAAGAAAUAGGUCCAACUUCCUGUGCUCACUUCAGUUAGAGCACUUCCCAUGUGACUUUGUAGCUUUGUGUGCAUCUCCUUCCCCUGCUAGACCUGAACCCCCCACGGGAGGGACUCUCUUAUUCUCCAUGUUCCCCACACCUGGAAUUUUAAUAAACAUCUCAA